GGGGCCGUCGUUCAACGGAUAGGACAUAUCCCCUCUAAGGAUAUGAUGCUGGUUCGAUUCCAGCCGGCCCUACCA
rnacentral:tRNA from 1 species